CGCUCACAGGGAGUAGAGUGUGUAGGGGAUGUGUUAUGUGUUACUGUAGAGGAUCUAAUGUGGUUGCCUACGGAAUGUAGUGUAUAGGGAUACCAGUUUGUGUAGGUGAUGCAGUGUUGUUUGUGUAAGGGAUAGAAAGCAGUGAGUGUUUGUGUAUAAGGGAUGUAUUGUGUGUUUCUUGUUGUGUGUAAGGGAUGCAUUGUGUGAAUCUGUGUUUGUAUGCAUAGUGUGUAUGUAAGGGAUGCAGUGUGUGUGUCUGUAAGGGGUGUGUUGAGUGUGUGUAAGAGAUGCAUUGUGUUUCUGUGUGUGUGUGUG